rnacentral:rRNA from 1 species
AUUGAACGCUGGCGGCAGGCUUAACACAUGCAAGUCGAGCGAGUGGCGGACGGGUGAGUAAUGUCUGGGAAACUGCCCGAUGGAGGGGGAUAACUACUGGAAACGGUAGCUAAUACCGCAUACCAUCGGAUGUGCCCAGAUGGGAUUAGCUAGUAGGUGGGGUAACGGCUCACCUAGGCGACGAUCCCUCGCUGGUCUGAGAGGAUGACCAGCAACACUGGAACUGAGACAGGUUCAAGAUGCCUAGGGGAGGCAGAAGUGGGGAAGAUUGCACAAUGGGAGCAAGCCUGAUGCAGCCAUGCCGGGUGUAUGAAGAAGGCCUUCGGGUUGUAAAGUACGUUCAGCGAGGAGGCGUUACUCGCAGAAGAAGCACCGGCUAACUCCGUGCCAGCAGCCGCGGUAAUUC